GGAGGAUUCUGGGAAAUGUAGUAAAGAGGAGUCACCAUGUGAUCCCAGGAAGAGGUGACACAUAAGGCAUCCUCAAUAAGUUUAUCUAGGAUGUACUUCAAAUAAUAGUUCCAGAAAAAUUAGACAAUAUCACCACACCAUGAAGAAGUCAUUUGAAAUGAGCUCUGAGAAUUCUGGCUACACAACAGACUAAAGGUACACUGAGCAGCUGGUGGAAGUAGAAGCAGACACCCAUAACUAAUCCCGGAAUUGAACUGGAACCCAGAUGCAGAAAAGGACCAGUGAAGAGCACAGAGGUCCAGACAAGGCUGGUGAAACCCACAGAAACAGCUGACCUGAACAUUCGGGAACUCUUGCUCCCCAGUCUGAUAGCUGGAAUACCAGCAUGGGACUGAUCCAGACCCCAGGAACAUGGGUUUCUGUGAGGAAACCUCAGAAAUCUAUGGGACCUCCUAUAGAAGCCCAGUAUUUAUCCCUAGCAUAGGUUUGGACUUUGGGAGCCCAUUCCAUAUAGAGGAAUACUUCCUGAGCCAAGACACACGGGGUUGGGCCUAGGCCCUAUCCCAAAGGAUACAAUAGACUCUGAUGACACCCUAUGGAAGGCCUCACCAUCCAGGGGGAGCAGAAAAUAUAUGUGACAGAUAAGAUUUUAGUUGGGGGGGUAGGGUAGGAUGGGUGGGAGAAGGGAACUGGGAUUGUCAUGUAAAACAAUCCUGUUUCUAAUUCAAAUAAAAAAAGUUGG
ensembl:lncRNA